CAAUAGCGUAUAUUAAAGUUGUUGCAGUUAAAAGCUCGUAGUUGGAGUUCAGGGUGAGCUCAGCUGGUCGGCCUUAUGGGUCAGAACUGGUUGACUCUCUCUUGUUUGUGGGUCCCGCCGGGAGUUAACUCUCUCGAUGUGGAGUCCACAUCGUUUACCUUGAAAAAUUAGAGUGUUCAAAGCAGGCGUUUGCUUGAAUAUAUUAGCAUGGAAUAAUGAUAUAGGAUCCAGGUCCUAUUUUGUUGGUUUCUAGGACCAGGAUAAUGGUUAAUAGGGAUAAUUGGGGGCACUCGUAUCAUGACGUCAGAGGUGGAAUUCUUGGAUUGUCAUGCGACGAACUACUGCGAAAGCAUUUGCCAAGGAUGUUUUCAUUGAUCAAGAACGAAAGUAAGGGGAUCGAAGACGAUCAGAUACCA
rnacentral:rRNA from 1 species